UGGGGAAUAUUGCACAAUGGACGGAAGUCUGAUGCAGCAACGCCGCGUGCGGGAUGACGGCCUUCGGGUUGUAAACCGCUUUUUCUCAUGACGAAGUUUUUUGACGGUAGUGGUAGAAGAAGCACCGGCUAACUACGUGCCAGCAGCCGCGGUGAUACGUAGGGUGCGAGCGUUGUCCGGAAUUAUUGGGCGUAAAGAGCUUGUAGGCGGUUUGUCGCGUCGAAAGUGUAAACUCAGUGCUUAACGCUGAGCCUGCUGUCGAUACGGGCUGACUAGAGGAGGGUAGGGGAGAAUGGAAUUCCCGGUGGAGCGGUGGAAUGCGCAGAUAUCGGGAGGAACACCAGUGGCGAAGGCGGUUCUCUGGACCUUUCCUGACGCUGAGAAGCGAAAGCGUGGGUAGCAAACAGG
rnacentral:rRNA from 1 species